GCCAGCAUGGCAUAGUGGUUUAAGUGUUGAACUAUUACUCCAGAGACCAGGGUUCAAAUUCCAGCUCAGCCA